rnacentral:rRNA from 1 species
GACGAACGCUGGCGGCGUGCUUAACACAUGCAAGUCGAACGGAAAGGCCCUGCUUGCUGGGUCCUCGAGUGGCGAACGGGUGAGUAACACGUGGGUGAUCUGCCCUGCACUUCGGGAUAAGCCCUGGUAACUGGGACUAUUAUCGGACCGGAGCCUUAUCUAGUGUGAUGGAUGGAAAGUUUUUUCGGUGUAGGAUGAGCUCGCGGCCUAUCAGCUUGUUGGUGGGGUAAUGGCCUACCAAGGCGGCGACGGGAAGCCGGCCUGAGAGGGUGGACAGCCACAGUGAGACUGAGAUACGGCCCAGACUCCGACGGGAGGCAGCAGUGGGGAAGAUUGCACAAUGGGCGCAAGCCUGAUGCAGCGACGCCGCGUGGGGGAGGACGGCCUUCGGGUUGGAAACGCCUUUCGCUAGGGACGAAGCUUUUUGUGACGGUACCUAGAGAAGAAGCACCGGCUAACUACGUG